rnacentral:rRNA from 1 species
UACGGAGGGUGCAAGCGUUAAUCGGAAUUACUGGGCGUAAAGCGCACGCAGGCGGUCUGUCAAGUCGGAUGUGAAAUCCCCGGGCUCAACCUGGGAACUGCAUUCGAAACUGGCAGGCUAGAGUCUUGUAGAGGGGGGUAGAAUUCCAGGUGUAGCGGUGAAAUGCGUAGAGAUCUGGAGGAAUACCGGUGGCGAAGGCGGCCCCCUGGACAAAGACUGACGCUCAGGUGCGAAAGCGUGGGGAGCAAACAGGAUUAGAUACCCUGGUAGGCCACGCCGUAAACGAUGUCGAUUUGGGGGUUGUGGCCUUGAGGCGUGGCUUCCGGAGCUAACGCGUUAAAUCGACCGCCUGGGGAGUACGGCCGCAAGGUUAAA